ensembl:lncRNA
GGGGGGGAUUUGUAGCUGCUGUUGCUCUGCCUCCCUCUCCCACUGCUGCCUCUCCGUCCCCCAGGAUCUCCAUCACGCGGGUGACGGCCGACAUCUCCCUGGCCAAGCGCUCCGUCCUGAACAACCCCAGCAAACACACCAUCAUCGAGCGCUCCAGCACGCGCUCCAGCCUGGGUAAGGAGGCGCCGCGGCGGCUCCGUCGCGUCGGGCAGCCCGCGGCGYGCUCGCCCUGCCGCCUGGCCGAGCAGGCGGUGGCUCCCAAGCGCGCAUCUGUAUCAGCCGGGGACCCCGGCAGCCUGGCGUUCCCCGUUCCCCAUCCCGUCUCGUCCCGGGGUGCUGCUCCCACCCGCUCCGGGGCACGGCUUGUCCCCCCCCCCCCUUCAGCACGCCGGGGGACGAGAUGCUGGGGCACAGCCUGCAUCUCCGCUGCCGCGGGGCGACUAACGUGCGCGAACGCAGCGCGCGCGCGCGGGGUGCGAGGGGAGCCGGGGCCUUCCGCCCCCGCUGGCCGAUUUGACUCAGUCUCUCUCCCCCUCCUCCCCCCUUCAUCUUCUCUUUCGUUUUUCUUUCCCCUUUUUCUCCUUUCUUUUGGGUUUCCUCCCCUCUGCGCUGCUUACUUCCUCCCCUGCUCCUGAUACAGAUGUCUUGGGUAUGUAGCUUGGACCCGUCGGGACCCCCGCCAGCCCCCUGCCUGGCCGGAGGCGGUGGGGACGCAGCCCCUUGCAGCCCCCGCUGCCUGGCCGUGACCAGCCUUGGGGAUGCUCCUGUUGGAGCACCGCCGGGUCUGGCCACCCCACAGCCUGYGGGUUAGGGAGACCCCGGUCACGCAGCCUCACCCAACCUCCCACCCCACGCACAUGUGGUCCAGGGGUGGCUUAGCCCCCCCCCCCCCAUAACCCAGCCACCCCAUGGUCUGCAUAGGCACGGCACUAGUGCUGGGUGCCCGAAGCUGCCUCCGUCCAGGACCUGCAGUGCAAGGUCACCUGCAGCCCCACGUCCCUGGGGCUGGGGUGACCUUGAGGGUGGCCAAGGCCCAGUACGAGACCUUUCCUGGUCCUGUCAUCUGCCCCAUUUCCCUCACCAUGUCUCCCAGNNNNNNNNNNNNNNNNNNNNNNNNNNNNNNNNNNNNNNNNNNNNNNNNNNNNNNNNNNNUCCCUGGCCCCCAUCAUCGUCUACAUCAAAAUCACGUCCCCCAAGGUGCUCCAGCGGCUUGUGAAGUCCCGGGGCAAGUCCCAGGCGAAGCACCUCAACGUGCAGAUGGUGGCGUCGGACAAGCUGGCGCAGUGCCCGCCGGUGAGUACGGCUCCCUGCCCCUACCCGGCCUGGCCUUGGCUCCGCCCACUGGUGCUGCUCUGGGUCCAUAGGCUCCACCUACCACCACACCGGGGCCAGAAGCUCCUCCCCUACAGGCCAUAAGCUCCUCCCACCACCUCAUCCUAGCCGGAGCCUCAACCCCUUUGGCACCAGAGGCCCCACCCUGGCCCCAUAGGCUCCAGCCACCACCUUAUCUUAGCCCAAGGCUCCACCCCCCAGCAGCAUAGACUCCACCCACAUCCUCAUUGGGAUCAGAAGCUCCACCCCUGUAGUCCAGAGACUCCGCCCCCACAGGCCAGAUGCUCCUCCUAACACCAAAACCUGACCAGAGGCUCCGCCUUUGGUUCUGAGGCUCCACCCACCACCUUGUCUUGACCAGAGGCUCCGCCCUGGGCCUGUAGGCUCCACCCCCUCCUGGCCAGAGGCCCCGCCCCUCUUGGAGCAGAGGCUCCGCCCUGGGCCUGUAGGCACCACCCCCUCCUGGCCAGAGGCCCUGCCCCUCUUGGAGCAGAGACUCCGCCCUGGGCCUGUAGGYACCACCCCCUCCUGGCCAGAGGCCCCGCCCCUCUUGGAGCAGAGGCUCCGCCCUGGGCCUUUAGGCUCCACCCACCACCCCCCAUCCUGGCUGGAGGCCCCGCCCACCGUGCCCUCCCUCGCAGGAGAUGUUUGACAUCAUCCUGGACGAGAACCAAUUGGAGGACGCCUGCGAGCACCUGGCGGAGUACCUGGAAGCCUAUUGGAAGGCCACGCACCCGCCCAGCAGCA